rnacentral:rRNA from 1 species
GACGAACGCUGGCGGCGUGCUCAACACAUGCAAGUCGAACGGAAAGGUCCUGCUUUUGUGGGGUGCUCGAGUGGCGAAAGGGUGUGUAACACGUGAGUAACCUGCCCUGGACUUUGGUAUAACUUCAGGAAACUUGGGCUAAUACCGGAUAGGUGCUCCUGCGGCAUGGUGGGGGUUGGAAAGGUUCGGCGGUUGGGGAUGGACUCGCGGCUUAUCAGCUUGUUGGUGGGGUAGUGGCUCACCAAGGCUUUGACGGGUAGCCGGCCUGAGAGGGUGACCGGCCACAUUGGGACUGAGAUACGGCCCAGACUCCUACGGGAGGCAGCAGUGGGGAAUAUUGCACAAUGGGCGGAAGCCUGAUGCAGCAACGCCGCGUGCGGGAUGACGGCCUUCGGGUUGUAAACCGCUUUCGCCUGUGACGAAGCGUGAGUGACGGUAAUGGGUAAAGAAGCACCGGCUAACUACGUG